rnacentral:rRNA from 1 species
AAACAUCUAAGUACCCCGAGGAAAAGAAAUCAACCGAGAUUCCCUCAGUAGCGGCGAGCGAACGGGGAUUAGCCCUUAAGCAUCUUGGAAGUUAGUGGAACGGUCCUGGAAAGGCCGGCGAUACAGGGUGAUAGCCCCGUACACGAAAACAACCUUGAUGUGAAAUCGAGUAGGGCGGGACACGUGACAUCCUGUCUGAAUAUGGGGGGACCAUCCUCCAAGGCUAAAUACUCCUGACUGACCGAUAGUGAACCAGUACCGUGAGGGAAAGGCGAAAAGAACCCCUGUGAGGGGAGUGAAAUAGAACCUGAAACCGUGUACGUACAAGCAGUGGGAGCCCUUCGGGGUGACUGCGUACCUUUUGUAUAAUGGGUCAGCGACUUACAUUUUGUAGCGAGGUUAACCGUAUAGGGGAGCCGUAGGGAAACCGAGUCUUAACUGGGCGUCUAGUUGCAAGGUGUAGACCCGAAACCGGGUGAUCUAGCCAUGGGCAGGUUGAAGGUUGAGUAACAUCAACUGGAGGACCGAACCCACUAACGUUGCAAAGUUAGGGGAUGACCUGUGGCUGGGGGUGAAAGGCCAAUCAAACUCGGAGAUAGCUGGUUCUCCCCGAAAGCUAUUUAGGUAGCGCCUCGGACGAAUACUACUGGGGGUAGAGCACUGUUUGGGCUAGGGGGUCAUCCCGACUUACCAACCCCAUGCAAACUCCGAAUACCAGUAAGUAAUAUCCGGGAGACACACGGCGGGUGCUAACGUCCGUCGUGAAGAGGGAAACAACCCAGACCGCCGGCUAAGGUCCCAAAGUUCUGGUUAAGUGGGAAACGAUGUGGGAAGGCUCAGACAGCUAGGAUGUUGGCUUAGAAGCAGCCAUCAUUUAAAGAAAGCGUAAUAGCUCACUAGUCGAGUCGGCCUGCGCGGAAGAUGUAACGGGGCUCAAACCAGGCA